rnacentral:lncRNA from 1 species
UGUUAUCAUGGAGUAAUUAUUGAGAUUUGUAGUAGUACGAGAAUGGGGAAGAGAGAGAUCAAAAGAAGAGGGUUGGGUGGUGUCAAAGGAGGGAAGAUCAGAAGAAUGAGAGGAAACAAGGGAAAUAGGGAAAGUAGUAGAAUGAUGAGAAGAUGUGGGUUGCGAGAUUAUUAAGGGAAUGGGAGCAGGGUUAGGAGGAAGGAUUUCUGGAGAAGAAUGUGGAACAAAAUUGUAUUGUGGUAUAUUAUAUGGAAAAAGAUAUUCUUGAAAAAGAACAUGAC